rnacentral:rRNA from 1 species
GACGAACGCUGGCGGCGUGCUUAACACAUGCAAGUCGAGCGGUAAGGCCCUUUCGGGGGUACACGAGCGGCGAACGGGUGAGUAACACGUGGGUGACCUGCCCUCAGCUCUGGGAUAAGCCUGGAAACCGGGUCUAAUACUGGAUAUGACUCCAUGACGCAUGUUGUGGGGUGGAAAGCCUUGUGCGGCUGAGGAUGGGCCCGCGGCCUAUCAGCGUUGUUCGGUGGGGGUGAUGGCCUACCAAGGCGACGACGGGUAGCCGGCCUGAGAGGGCGACCGGCCACACUGGGACUGAGACACGGCCCAGACUCCUACGGGAGGCAGCAGUGGGGAAUCUUGCGCAAUGGGCGAAAGCCUGACGCAGCGACGCCGCGUGAGGGAUGACGGCCU